AGAUUAUUCACUCCAAUAAUUAAAACAGACCCAACUCAGAUGGAAAGUAUACUGUUAAUUUAAGUCAAGUGAACAUCAUUUUUAAUAGCUCUAGUUUCAUUGAUCCAACAUGUAUACUCAGAUGGAGAGUAAGUACACGAUAUCAAUUACUAGUAUUUCACCUAGUGAGCUUACAAUAAAUUUAUCCGAUAUGGAGGAAGACCUAAAGUUAACGCAUAAAUUUAUUACUCACUUAAAAUUAAUAGUGGAAGACCAUAGAAAUAUAUUUCUAUCACCACUUAAUCAUGAUUGUAUUGUAGUUACAAAAUUGAUUCAACCCUUUAAGCUCAGAUGGAGAGUUAAUACUGGUUAUCAAUAACUAGUAACUAUAACCAGUGAGUUCAUAAUAAAUUUAUCCGAUAUGGAGGAAGACCUAAUGUCAACGCAUAAAU
rnacentral:lncRNA from 1 species